UACGUAGGGAGCAAGCGUUGUCCGGAAUCAUUGGGCGUAAAGCGCGCGUAGGCGGCCCUGUAAGUCCGUUGUGAAAGUCAAAGGCUCAACCUUUGAAAGCCGAUGGAUACUGCAGGGCUAGAGUUCGGAAGAGGCGAGUGGAAUUCCCGGUGUAGCGGUGAAAUGCGCAGAUAUCGGGAGGAACACCUAUGGCGAAGGCAGCUCGCUGGGACGUUACUGACGCUGAGACGCGAAAGCGUGGGGAGCAAACAGG
rnacentral:rRNA from 1 species